rnacentral:rRNA from 1 species
AAUAGAUACCCCGGUAGUCCACGCCGUAAACGUUGGAUACUAGGUGUGGCGGUUAUACCAAUGACGUGCCGUGCCGAAGCUAACGCAUUAAGUAUCCCGCCUGGGGAGUACGGCCGCAAGGCUAAAACUCAAAGGAAUUGACGGGGGCUCACACAAGCGGUGGAGCAUGUGGAUUAAUUCGAAGCAACGCGAAGAACCUUACCUGGGUUUGACAUGCUAGGAUGCCCUCUUGGAAACAGGAGUAAGCUGCCUUCGGGUGAAACUAGCACAGGUGCUGCAUGGCUGUCGUCAGCUCGUGCUGUGAAGUGUCGGGUUAAGUCCUCUAACGAGCGAAACCCCUAUCGUUAGUUGCCAGCGGGUCAUGCCGGGAACUCUAACGAGACCGCCGGCGUCAAGCCGGAGGAAGGCGGGGACGACGUCAAGUCAUCAUGGCCUUUAUGCCCAGGGUGUCACACGUGCUACAAUGGGCGGUACAGGGCGAAGCGAGAUCGCGAGAUGGAGCAAAUCGCACAAAGCCGCCCUCAGUU